rnacentral:rRNA from 1 species
AUGGCGCUCCCUGCGCUGAGGGCUCGUCUCGGCCUUGGCUGCACCGCCAGGAUCGGCAAAAUCGUUUGCAGCAGCGGCCGUAACCACGGCGGCUCCAGCAAGAUCGGUCACAGCAGCGGCAAGACCCGGUGCUUCUCUUCCACCUCCGAGACAUCUUCCGAGUUCAAUAGUGGUCUUCAACACGCUGUGACUGCUGUACGUGCUUUCGGCGGUGUUGUCGCAGUUUGGUGUCUCUUGAGCUUGGAUGCUAAAGUCGACAAAAUAGGCAAGAAAGUCCAUCAAAUAGAGCACGAAGUUGUGAGGAUGAAGGACAACGUCGAUCAAAUAGCGCCUCACGUGGAGAACAAAGUCGAUAAAAUCGCGACGGCGAUGGAGGAUCAAGUUGAUAAUAUAGGGAAGAAAGUCCACAAGAUGGAGGGCAAGGUCGAUAAAAUUGUGAGGAUGGAGAUUGCUAAAAUAGUGACUCAGAUGGAUGACAAGGUCAUAGCCAAGACAGUCGCCCAGAUGGAAGGCAAGGUCCAUUCAAUAGUGAGCAUGGAGUGUAAAGUCGAUGAAAUGGGAAAGAAAGUCGAGCAGAUGGAGGGCAAGGUGGAUAAAAUCAUGGGCAUGGAGGGUAAAGUCAAUGAAAUAGGAAAGAAAGUCGACGGGGUGGAGGGAAAAGUCGACCAAGUAAAAGACAAGUGUGAUAGUAUUUAUUGGAAAGUUGUUUGCAAAUGGUAA